UACCAAAUUAUUUCCUACACUUUUCCUAGUUGAGAAAAAUGGUAUAAAUAUCGUGCCCAAGUUUUGACCAGGCACACAAACAUUUUCAUACCUUCUCUGAAAUCAUCUCAAUUCGUGUUAAACACACCAAACCAAAACUUCGCCAUGUUCCGAUUCGUCCUUGUCGUUCUUGCCCUCGUCGCCGUGGCGUCCGCCCAGCUUUUGUACACUUCCGGUGUGAGCGGCCCCAACUUUCACAACGCGUUCGCCUCCUCCGCCUCCACCGGAAUUCGACGAUACGGAUCCACCGCUGGAUUGGCCUACGCCGCUCCAGCUUACGCCGCUGUCCCAGCCUACUAUUAAAAUUUUGAAGUUGUUAUAUUUCCAAUUUUUUUUACCAUCUUCUGAAUAAACCUUGAUUUGACUGAACCUUUAAAAA